UCUACUAGCUUAAUGGGAGAGCUAUGGAUUCAUAACCCAUCGACGAAGGUUCGAUUCCUUCCUCUGCUAAAA